UCUUCUCCCUGAUCUGCCCUAACCGCAAGGAGGCGGUUUCCUCUCCUCCCCUCACGCGUGCCCUAACCAUUCCUCUCCGAGCCAUCCCCGACGCCAAGCUUGCCCUAACUGCUCCACCAACCGACGCCACUUCUCUUCUCUCUACUCUGUGCAGCGCCGACGCCGACGCUGAUCAUUGACACCGUGCCCUAGCCGAAGCCCACUGCCACGACCCGGUCACCGACGACCAACAUCUCUGAUGCUUGCCGGCAGGGUACCAUCUGUCAUCUGCCCUAGCUUCCUCUCCUCUGCCGCCCCUCUUCUUGUCCUCUGCACUGCGCGCCGCCGCCCUGGUUGACUCGGUGCCCUAGACCGCCGGAAAACCAGAAGCUGGAGAAGAUGACAACAAGCGGCAGUAAUUUGACAGUGGGAUUGAAGAGUCUUGGUCUCCAGCAGCGGCUACUCCUUUCGGCGGCACUAUCCCUAGUUGUGGAUCAAUAGCGGCUGUGAAUUGAGGGAUAUGGAUUUGGUGGACAGCAGCCGUUGGAGUUCAUAUGAGUGGAAUAUAUGGAUCGGGACUGAUUCUUGGAGGUAGGUUGAUCAUGGUAACUCCGGCCUUGGAUCAGUGGUGGUUUAUUCCAAUUUGGGACUCUGAUUUGCGACGAGUUGCCUUACGUGGGAUUUCCUUUGGCACGCGCGAUAUUUGAGGCGAGUACCUUGACUUAUCUUUUUGAUAUGUCUUGUUGAUAUGUCUAGUAGGUUAUAGUCUUUAGUAAUAAUUAUGUUCGUCCUUGUUUCGGUACGUCACUACCGGAUACUCGUUACAU